rnacentral:rRNA from 1 species
GAUGAACGCUGGCGGCGUGCCUAAUACAUGCAAGUCGAGCGAACAGACGAGAGUGCUUGCACUCUCUGACGUUAGCGGCGGACGGGUGAGUAACACGUGGGUAACCUACCUAUAAGACUGGGAUAACUUCGGGAAACCGGAGCUAAUACCGGAUAAUAUUUAGCUUCGCAUGAAGCAAUAGUGAAAGACGGUUCUGCUGUCACUUAUAGAUGGACCCGCGGUGUAUUAGCUAGUUGGUGAGGUAACGGCUCACCAAGGCAACGAUACAUAGCCGACCUGAGAGGGUGAUCGGCCACACUGGGACUGAGACACGGCCCAGACUCCUACGGGAGGCAGCAGUAGGGAAUCUUCCGCAUUGGACGAAAGUCUGACGGAGCAAUGCCGCGUGAGUGAAGAAGGUUUUCGGAUCGUAAAACUCUGUUGUAAGGGAAGAACAAGUACGUUAGUAACUGAACGUACCUUGACGGUACCUUACCAGAAAGCCACGGCUAACUACGUG